AGUGAACGCUGGCGGUAGGCCUAACACAUGCAAGUCGAACGGCAGCACAGUAAGAGCUUGCUCUUACGGGUGGCGAGUGGCGGACGGGUGAGGAAUACAUCGGAAUCUACUUUUUCGUGGGGGAUAACGUAGGGAAACUUACGCUAAUACCGCAUACGACCUACGGGUGAAAGCAGGGGAUCUUCGGACCUUGCACGAUUGAAUGAGCCGAUGUCGGAUUAGCUAGUUGGCGGGGUAAAGGCCCACCAAGGCGACGAUCCGUAGCUGGUCUGAGAGGAUGAUCAGCCACACUGGAACUGAGACACGGUCCAGACUCCUACGGGGGGCAGCAGUGGGGAAUAUUGGACAAUGGGCGCAAGCCUGAUCCAGCCAUACCGCGUGGGUGAAGAAGGCCUUCGGGUUGUAAAGCCCUUUUGUUGGGAAAGAAAAGCAGCAGGUUAAUACCCCGCUGUUCUGACGGUACCCAAAGAAUAAGCACCGGCUAACUUCGUG
rnacentral:rRNA from 1 species